UUUGUAAUGGAAUUGUUGGAGUUGGAAAAUCAGAUGGUAUCUCUCAACAAACUGGGUUGGGCAUACGAGCUUCUACCCCUAGAAACAACCAAGAUAAUAAUUCCCUUGUCAAUGAUAGGAGGGGCCGUCCUGUUAGUUCAGACAAGGAAAGGGUGAACUUCAGAGCUGUAAACAAGGCAACUGCACGUGAUGAAUUUAAUUCAGCUAGCCCUACCUCAAGUGC